rnacentral:rRNA from 1 species
AGAGUUUGAUCCUGGCUCAGAUUGAACGCUGGCGGCAUGCUUUACACAUGCAAGUCGAACGGCAGCAUGAGGAGCUUGCUCCUUGGUGGCGAGUGGCGCACGGGUGAGUAAGACAUCGGAACGUGUCCUUUUGUGGGGGAUAACUGUCCGAAAGGACAGCUAAUACCGCAUAAGACCUGAGGGUGAAAGCGGGGGAUCGCAAGACCUCGCGCGAAAGGAGCGGCCGAUGGCCGAUUAGCUAGUUGGGGAGGUAAAGGCUCACCAAGGCGACGAUCGGUAGCUGGUCUGAGAGGACGACCAGCCACACUGGGACUGAGACACGGCCCAGACUCCUACGGGAGGCAGCAGUGGGGAAUUUUGGACAAUGGGGGCAACCCUGAUCCAGCCAUGCCGCGUGCGGGAUGAAGGCCUUCGGGUUGUAAACCGCUUUUGUCAGGGACGAAAAGGGACUCGCUAAUACCGAGUUCUGCUGACGGUACCUGAAGAAUAAGCACCGGCUAACUACGUGCCAGCAGCCGCGGU